rnacentral:lncRNA from 1 species
AUGGAAGGGCUGCGGGCGGAAAACGCUGGAGUGGACGCCGCCGGGGCAAGCGCGGAGGAAAAGUACCGCGCUCUCGCCUACGACACGGCGCUGAGCACCCUGGUGGCGGUGGCCGUGUACGUGGUGGUGAAAGUGAGCGUGGACGGCAUCAGGCAGUGGCGCGCCCGGAUCCCGGUGCUCAUCGUGGGCUCGGGACCCGUGGGGCUCGCGGCCGCCCUGGUCGCUGUCCGCUCCGGGAAGGUGCUGAAGCUGACCCUGCUGGAGGAGCGGUACCGGGCCGCGCUGCUGUGCCGGCCGCAGCAGAUCGCGCUGGAUCCCCGCAGCGUGAACUUCCUGCUGGGGCUCGGGGUCGACUUUGACAACAUGGAGGGCUGCUGGCACAACGAGCACUUCUUCACCAGGAUCGGCGUGUUCCAGGAGUAUCUGCUGAGCAUCCUGGAGCAGAAGAAGCACAAGGUGGACGUCAGAGUGCAGCUGGGGACCAAGUUCUCGGAGGACUACCUGCGCCGCAUCCCACACAACGAGUGGCCGCGGGUGAUCGUCGUGGCCGACGGCUCGUGCGGCGACUCCUGCUCUGUGCUCGGCAUCAGCUCCGACUUCAGCGUGGAGUCCUGCCAUGCCUACGGCGCCAACGCGACCAUAGAGAGACCAGACCAGAGACAAGUGCCCACUCCUGAGAUUCGUGCUCACAGCCUCUACUUUGAUCUGUCCGCCUAUGGGGUGGAGGCGCUGCGAGAACACAGAACCCCUCCCACCAAACCCGGCUUCCACCUGAAGAUCUACGGCACCUUCAGAAACCGCUACAUGGCCCUGAUCUGCCCCGCGUCUGACACCAAGAUGGUUCGCUUCCUGAGGCACACCGCCAACGCCGCUGUCAUGAAGAACAUUUUCCACCAGUCGUUCAACGCCUAUAAGACGGACAUAGAGCCCCGCCUCAGCGACGUGACGCUCCACCACAUGCAGUGCAGCCGGCGCCUCUUCGAGAUCCAGCUGUCGCACCGACGCAUCAGCGCCGCUUACAUCGAGGGGGACAACGUGGCCGUCACCGUGGAGGGGGAGGCGGCGCGUGUCCUCAACUUCGACACGGGCUGUGGGGUAAAUCUAGGAAUGCGAGGCCUGGAGUCAAUGGGGACCUUUAUUUACCGGACAGCGACCGCCGUGGACCGGAACGACGUCCUGGAGGCGCUGUCGGCUAAGAUGCAGCACUCCAGACAGGUGGCCGAGACCUUCAGGCAGACGGGCCUUACAGAAUCCAUAUACGAAUGAAACCCACGGUUGAGCAGGUGAAUGCAUAGUGCCACCUAGUGGAGGAAGCUGGGAAAUCUGUUUACAAUGAAUGUUUACUAUGAAUCACGAAUCUUUUGCUGAUUGUGAUUAGAUCUACUCUCAGUGGACUGAGAAUAACAAUGUCCACAUUUAGUCUGGUACAUUUUUAACAAUGUUUAGAUUACAGACAUUGACAAUAUCAGAAACAACAGCAGUAAGAAAUACCUGAUAUAUAAUUCCAGUCAGUAUAAUUGUAUAAUUAGGAUAUUAUUGCACUGUACAUUGGAGACGUGAGAGACCAGGGAAACAAAAUCUAAUCUAUUCUGCCUGAGAAGUAGUAGGAAUGGAAGAAACCUCAAUGACCUUUACAGUUUUUAUGACUUUUACUUUAUCAUUGUAUUAUUAAAAAUUUUUAAUUAAACUACUAACUAGAGUUUAUUAUAGUCUUUGGUCAAAAUUAUUAUCUACAGCUGAGGAUCUAUAAACAUGUUUUGUAAAUUAAGGGAAUUAAUAUAAUUAAGGGAAGCACAUGCGCAGAAUACAGUAAGAUGAAGCAGAAUUUAACUGCUCCAGCGUUUUCAUAUCAAGCCUUUCGGGUUUGUGUUCAUGACUGGUGAUAGUCAUCGCAGAGAGGUCUAUUUUUUGUGUUGGCUCAUAAAUAAAUAUUUUUGUUCAUUUUGAAAUUGGCUUUUG